GCUCAGUUGGUUAAGCGUCUGACUCUUGAUUUCAGCUCAGGUCAUGAUCUUGGGGUUGUGGGAUUGAGCCCCACACUGGGCU
rnacentral:tRNA from 1 species